UGUCAGCCCUAAUUUCCAUGGCAGCAGGUUACUUUCACUUUUUAUUUUCUUCUUGGUUUUUAUAAGAUUAUAUCCAUUAUCACCAGCUCUGCCCUUUUUUUUUAUUAUUAUCUUUAAUUCUAUACAUUUCUUAACCGAUCUUUUCUAUCGUCAAUGGAGUGGAUUGAGUUAUGGCCUCUCGCUUCUUCAUCAUCCUUAGCUAAGCUAAUUGGUUUACAUUAUAUGGCUGCUUUCUUCUUCUUCUUCUUCUUCUUCUUCUUCUUCAAUUCUUCUUUUCUUUUAAAUUGUUUCUAAUUUUUAUUUCAUUUGAUUAUUUGUCAUGUGGAAUGAUGGUUUGCAGUUCUUAGAAUCAAUAGCAUUUCAUAUUUCAUCUUGUGGAAGUCUUGCUAGAAUAAUAUGCUUGAGAUUUAUGAUGUAUUCGUACGGAAGUCUUUUCUUCUUCUUUUUUGAAGAAUAUGUCAAGGAGCCUUUUUUUUUUAUUCGUUCAAAUUGAUUUAUAUAUUUUUUUUAUUUAAUUUGGAUUUUCUUUUUUGGGUAUUUUCAAAUCUCAGAUUCUUGUGAUCUAUUUUGCAGACUUCUGAUGAUUUUGUUAAAGGUAUUUCCUUUACCUAAAUAGACCUGCCAACUGAGAAGACCUAUUUUCUUUAUUAAUUAUAUAAAAAAUGUCUCUCUCAUUGCAUCUAUCUACAUUUUCCUCCUCCUUUCUCAUUCUGUUUUAUUAUUUAUUUAUUGCUUUGUGACGUUUCCUGUUAGUUAUUGUACAUAAUAAUGUUUGAACACUGCAGCUAAUAAUCCUCCUCCAAAACCUUGGGAACGAGCCUGUGGUCCUUCUGGUUCUACACCUUUUAAACCUCCAUCAUCUGGCAGCACAAUUGAUGUAGUGGAGGCUUCAGGAACUGCAAAACCUGGAGAAAUUGUUCCAAGUUUACACAGGAAUGCCUCAGUCAACAGAAAUGCCCUUGGAAGGCCUGCUCCUCCAAGUCCAUGGCAGCAUAACUAUGGCACCAGCAACUAUGGAGGUGGUUUGAUGUUAUUAUAUCUGGCUCUUCCAUCUCUCUAGAUAUCUGCUAAAGAAAAUCCUCUACAAGACCAAAUGCAGAGUUCCACAAAGAGGCCAAGAAUAUUUUCUUGUCACGGGCAUUGACAAAAAAUGAUAAAAGUGUGACUCAGUGUACGAAACAUCUCAUCGGUUUUGGGAGGGUUGAUGUACACAGCCUUACCUUGCUUUGCAGAUAGGCUGUUUCUGUGGCUGAAACCUGUGUUCCUGACAAAAAAAUGAAGGCUGCUAAAGAUUCUUAGCUGCAUUUUUCUUGGCUGCAUCAACUCAUUUAAAACUUUACAUCACAAUCAUGUCAUUAUCGCUUAGGAAGGCAAUGGCAUGUCAAUAUCAACUAUUGAUGGCUCAGAUAAGUGUUUGCUAGUUGAUUCUUGCCAUUGAGUAUGGGAAGAUCGAUCGAUAACUGCAUUCAUUAUAAUUUCAAUCAAGAUAUGUUGUAUUUAUUAAAUUUCUUUUUGCUCAUUAACCAUUUGCCAUUUUCUUGAUGACAGAUGCAGGGUGUGGUGAACUGUUUUGGCCGCAUAUCAAUUCUCAUAGUCCAGAAUACACAAGCCUUUCACAUGAUCAUGAGUGCUCUUCUUCAGCUUUUUGAUCGGUCUGCUCUGUUGUAUGUAGAGUUAGCCAGAUUUGCACUGAGGCUGCUGGGGUUUAGAACAAAGCCGCGAAUGGUUCAACCGCGGGCUUCCAAUGGACUCCCUCCCCCACCAGAAAAUCAGCAGCACCUUCAAGGAUCAAAGGCAGCUCCCAGUGGGCCUGGGGACAGUGUGUAAGAAAAUGAUGCAAUAUUGUUUCCGGUGCCUGUGAAGUGAAUAUGAUUUAGAGUGUUGAUAGGAAAGAAAACUCUUGUGAGGUUUUGAUCUAACAUCAAACUGCACAUUAUCUUCACUACCAAAUUUAUGUAAUCUUCAUAAUUGUACUCCAAAUUAAAUCUGGUUUUUAAUUCUGAGAUAGUGAGAAAUUAUACAAAAUUCUCAAUAAUAUUAACUCUGUAGGUCUUUAUCCCAAAAAAAAAAAAAAAAAAAAACAUAGUUGCAUGGAUCUGGUUCUCAAGGUCGUCGAUCCUCUAAGGCUACAAACAACGAUGCACGGAAAUGGGACUUGGUAGCGUUUUCCAGUGUCCGAAACGUUUCCGACAUAGAAACGAGAUGACACAGCUCGUAGACGUUUCUCAUGCGUUUUCAGCUACGGACAUGCGUUUUUUUAAAAUAAUAAUAAUAAUUAGGUUAAAAAUGCAAACUGCGCCGCAUUACAAUACACGGAAUAGAAGACAAAAAAGAAGAGAAGAAGAAGAAAAAGGAGGAGGAGGAGAGAAUUAGAAGACUUACCUAGCAAUGUGGUGUAGCUGUGAUAAACAGUGGCAACGGCAAUGGCAGUGACAGUGCAAGUGAGGGAUCCCUUCUCUGCCUCUCGCAGUCUGGCCUUUAACCUUCUCCAUUCCAUUGACAGUGACUUACCUGCCUCGCAGUCUCGCCUAUUGUGAUGCUUUGGUUGUUUCUUGGUUUUUUGAUUGCUUUACAUUGGAAUGGGUUUUGAUUGUUUUAAGUUUUUGAAUAUGGUUUAGUCUGGACGUUUGAUUUGUAAUUUAUGUGGGAAGAAAUUAUAUAAAUUUUUGCUACCAUUUAAUUCCU